rnacentral:lncRNA from 1 species
GCGGAUUCAAGUGGCUUCCACCUUACGCUAAUCUUCUUCCUUAUUGUUUUCUUUUGCUUCCAUACCCUUACCAACUCAUUUUUCCUAUAACUCUUCACUUGUUCAUAUCUAUAGAUAUUAUAAAUUUUAAGGAAGAAAGGCUAAGUUAUAAGUUUGAGCGAGCAAUAUGCAAAAUCUUACUUAUCUUCCAGCUGCUUCCCCG